rnacentral:rRNA from 1 species
UGUGANNNGAGUACAGGAGAGGGAAGUGGAAUUCCUAGUGUAGCGGUGAAAUGCGUAGAUAUUAGGAGGAACACCAGUGGCGAAGGCGACUUUCUGGACUGUAACUGACACUGAGGCACGAAAGCGUGGGGAGCAAACAGGAUUAGAUACCCUGGUAGUCCACGCCGUAAACGAUGGAUACUAGGUGUGGGGCCCGAUAGGGUUCCGUGCCGAGGCAAACGCAUUAAGUAUCCCGCCUGGGGAGUACGAUCGCAAGGUUGAAACUCAAAGGAAUUGACGGGGGCCCGCACAAGCAGCGGAGCAUGUGGUUUAAUUCGAAGCAACGCGAAGAACCUUACCAAGGCUUGACAUCCUCUGACGACUGUAGAGAUACAGUUUCCCUUCGGGGCAGAGAGACAGGUGGUGCAUGGUUGUCGUCAGCUCGUGUCGUGAGAUGUUGGGUUAAGUCCCGCAACGAGCGCAACCCUUAUUGCUAGUUGCCAGCGAGUAAAGUCGGGAACUCUAGUGAGACUGCCGGGGACAACUCGGAGGAAGGUGGGGACGACGUCAAAUCAUCAUGCCCCUUAUGUCUUGGGCUACACACGUGCUACAAUGGCCGGUACAACGGGCAGCGAACCCGUAAGGGGAAGCGAAUCUCAAAAAGCCGGUCCCAGUUCGGAUUGUGGGCUGCAACCCGCCCACAUGAAGUCGGAGUUGCUAGUAAUCGCGAAUCAGCAUGUCGCGGUGAAUGCGUUCCCGGGCCUUGUACACACCGCCCGUCACACCACGGAAGUUGGGAGCACCCGAAGCCAGUGGCUUAACCGCAAGGGGAGAGCUGUCGAAGGUGAGAUCAAUGACUGGGGUGAAGUCGUAACAAGGUAACCA